GGGCGAGUAGCUCAGUUGGUCAGAGCACCUGCCUUACAAGCAGGGGGUCGGCGGUUCGAGCCCGUCCUCGCCCACCA
rnacentral:tRNA from 1 species